AUAGAGAAGAAAAUGUUGUUUGAAAUCAUUUUGGGGGAGGGAAAGAAGGAGGUUUGCGGACAUGGCGGCGGUGGAGGAGGAAGGGACUCAAGGGAAAGGGGGCUUGAGAGGGUUUAUUUCUAUGUUUUAACGCAUGAGAAGAGUUAAAAGAGAGGAAAAUGUUGUUUGAAAUCAUUUUGGGGGAGGGAAAGAAGGAGGUUUGCGGACAUGGCGGCGGUGGAGGAGGAAGGGACUCAAGGGAAAGGGGGCUUCAGACGGUUUAUUUCUAUGUUUUAACGCAUGAGAAGAGUAAAAAGAGAGGAAAAUGUUGUUUGAAAUCAUUUUGGGGGAGGGAAAGAAGGAGGUUUGCGGACAUGGCGGCGGUAGGGGAAGAAGGAACUCAAGGGAAAGGGGGCUUGAGAGGGUUUAUUUCUAUGUUUUAACGCAUAAGAAGAGUAAAAAGAGGAGAAAAUGUUGUUUGAAAUCAUUUUGGGGGAGGGAAAGAAGGAGGUUUGCGGACAUGGCGGCGGUAGGGGAAGAAGGGACUCAAGGGAAAGGGGGCUUGAAUGGGCUUAUUUCAAUGUUUUAAUGCAUAAGAACACGUCAAAUACUCGUUUUAUACAUGACUUUGAGGAUGGGGCAAAAAAAAAAAAAGAAAACGCUUGAUUUGGAGGUUAUGUCAUGAAGGACGUAAGGGAAAGUGGGCUUGAGAUGGUUUAUUUCAAUGUUUUAAUGCAAAAUAACACGUCAAAUACUCGUUUUAUAUAUGAUUUUGAGUAUGGGACAAAAAAAAAAAACGGGCUUGAUUUGGCGGUGAAGGAAGAAUUAACUAAAGGGAAACGGGGCUCGAGAUGGUUUAUUUCAAUGUUUUAAUGCAUAAUACCACGUCAAAUACUCGUUUUAUACAUGAUUUUGAAGAUAGGGCAAAAAAAAAAAAAACGGGCUUGAUUUGGCGGUGAAGGAAGAAUUAACUAAAGGGAAACGGGGCUCAAGAUGGUUUAUUUCAAUGUUUUAAUGCAUAAUAACACGUCAAAUACUCGUUUUAUACAUGAUUUUGAAGAUAGGGCAAAAAAAAAAGGCUUGAUUUGGCGGUGAAGGAAGAAUUAACUAAAGGGAAACGGGGCUUGAGACGGUUUAUUUCAAUGUUUUAAUGCAUAAUAACACGUCAAAUACUCGUUUUAUACAUGAUUUUGAAGAUAGGGCAAAAAAAAACCGGCUUGAUUUGGCGGUUGUGUCAUGGAGGACGUAAGCGAAAUGGUUCUAUACUGGGAACCGGAGAAAUGGAGAAUUGGGUUUAUUUCUGGGUUUAAAUGCAAAGGAAAUCAUCAUAUACUCGUUUUAUACAUGAUUUUGGGAUGGGGAAAAAGUCUAUCAUGGGUUAUGGCCUCGGUGUCGGGGAAGGAAAAGGGAAAUGGGGCUCUACAGGGAGUCUGGGAAAUGGAGAAUAGGGUUUAUUUCAGGUUUAAGUCCCAAAUAAACCAUCAUAUACUUGUUUUAUCACUAUUUAGAUUUUAUUAUAAGUCCGUCUUGGGUUGGCAAUGGCGGUGAAAUCAGGGAAGGGAAAGGGAAAGGGAGCUAUUCAGGGAGUCUGGGAAAUGGAGAAUAGGGUUUAUUUCAGGUUUAAGUCCCAAAUAAACCAUCAUAUACUUGUUU